CCUACGGGAGGCAGCAGUGGGGAAUUUUCCGCAAUGGGCGAAAGCCUGACGGAGCAAUACCGCGUGAGGGAGGAAGGCUCUUGGGUCGUAAACCUCUUUUCUCAGGGAAGAACACAAUGACGGUACCUGAGGAAUAAGCAUCGGCUAACUCCGUGCCAGCAGCCGCGGUAAUACGGAGGAUGCAAGCGUUAUCCGGAAUGAUUGGGCGUAAAGCGUCCGCAGGUGGCAAUGUAAGUCUGCUGUUAAAGAGUGAGGCUCAACCUCAUAAGAGCAGUGGAAACUACAUAGCUAGAGUACGUUCGGGGCAGAGGGAAUUCCUGGUGUAGCGGUGAAAUGCGUAGAGAUCAGGAAGAACACCGGUGGCGAAGGCGCUCUGCUAGGCCGUAACUGACACUGAGGGACGAAAGCUAGGGGAGCGAAUGGGAUUAGAUACCCCAGUAGUCCUAGCCGUAAACGAUGGAUACUAGGCGUGGCUUGUAUCGACCCGAGCCGUGCCGUAGCUAACGCGUUAAGUAUCCCGCCUGGGGAGUACGCCGGCAACGGUGAAACUUAAAUGAAUUGACGG
rnacentral:rRNA from 1 species